CCUACGGGGGGCAGCAGUGGGGAAUAUUGGACAAUGGGGGGAACCCUGAUCCAGCCAUGCCGCGUGUGUGAAGAAGGCCUUUUGGUUGUAAAGCACUUUAAGCGAGGAGGAGGCUACCGAGAUUAAUACUCUUGGAUAGUGGACGUUACUCGCAGAAUAAGCACCGGCUAACUCUGUGCCAGCAGCCGCGGUAAUACAGAGGGUGCAAGCGUUAAUCGGAUUUACUGGGCGUAAAGCGCGCGUAGGUGGUUAAUUAAGUCAAAUGUGAAAUCCCCGAGCUUAACUUGGGAAUUGCAUUCGAUACUGGUUAGCUAGAGUAUGGGAGAGGAUGGUAGAAUUCCAGGUGUAGCGGUGAAAUGCGUAGAGAUCUGGAGGAAUACCGAUGGCGAAGGCAGCCAUCUGGCCUAAUACUGACACUGAGGUGCGAAAGCAUGGGGAGCAAACAGGAUUAGAUACCCUGGUAGUCACC
rnacentral:rRNA from 1 species